CGUGUAGGAGGCGCUACAAGUUGGAUGUGAAAGCUCCCGGCUUAACUGGGAGAGGUCGUUCAAGACUGUAGAGCUAGAGUGAGGCAGAGGUAGAUGGAACUCCGGGAGUAGUGGUGAAAUGCGUAGAUAUCCGGAAGAACACCAGAGGCGAAAGCGAUCUACUGGACCUAAACUGACACUGAGACGCGAAAGCCAGGGUAGCAAACG
rnacentral:rRNA from 1 species